rnacentral:rRNA from 1 species
AUUGAACGCUGGCGGCAGGCCUAACACAUGCAAGUCGAACGAGUGGCGGACGGGUGAGUAAUGUCUGGGAAACUGCCCGAUGGAGGGGGAUAACUACUGGAAACGGUAGCUAAUACCGCAUACCAUCGGAUGUGCCCAGAUGGGAUUAGCGAGUAGGUGGGGUAACGGCGCACCUAGGCGACGAUCCCUAGCUGGUCUGAGAGGAUGACCGGCCACACUGGAACUGAGACACGGCCCAGACUCCUACGGGAGGCAGUAGUGGGGAAUAUUGGACAAUGGGCGCAAGCCUGAGCCAGCCAUGCCGCGUGUAUGAAGAAGGCCUUCGGGUUGUAAAGUACUUUCAGCGAGGAGGCGUUACUCGCAGAAGAAGCACCGGCUAACUCCGUGCCAGCAGCCGCGGUAAUUC